ensembl:misc_RNA 7SK 7SK RNA
GGAUGUGAGGGCAAUCCGGCCGCGACAUCUGUCACCCCACGGAUCACCAGGGUUGAUUUGGCUGAUGUGGCUGGCUAGGCCGGUGUCCCCGUCCCCCCUCACGGCUCCACGUGUGUCCCUCCCAAAGCCGCACCCUCCGUCCAAGGGGACGGUCGUCUCGGUAGGGGAGGAAUGCUCUUCGGUCAAGGGUAUAUGAGCAGCUGUGCUCCCCUUCUAGAACCUCCAAACCAGCUCUCAAAAAAUAUUUCCUAUAUAAUUCCAUUUUUGUAAAAAUUAAGUAAAAAAUGGAUCUAUCUAUAAACUA